rnacentral:rRNA from 1 species
AUUGAACGCUGGCGGCAGGCCUAACACAUGCAAGUCGAACGAGUGGCGGACGGGUGAGUAAUGUCUGGGAAACUGCCUGAUGGGGGGGGAUAACUACUGGAAACGGUAGCUAAUACCGCAUACCAUCAGAUGUGCCCAGAUGGGAUUAGCUUGUUGGUGGGGUAACGGCUCACCAAGGCGACGAUCCCGAGCUGGUCUGAGAGGAUGACUAGCCACACUGGACCUGAGAAACGGAACAGAAUCCUACGGGAGGCAGCAGUGUGGAAUAUUGGACAAUGGGCGAAAGCCUGAUGCAGCCAUGUCGCGUGUAUGAAGAAGGCCUUCGGGUUGUAAAGUACUUUCAGCGGGGAGGCGUUACCCGCAGAAGAAGCACCGGCUAACUCCGUGCCAGCAGCCGCGGUAAUAC